GUUGCCGCCGCUGCUCUAGCUGCCAUCAGUCAGGCUGCGCCCGUGUCUUCAGGGCCCAGUCCCUCGGACCCAUCGCCGCUUCUAGACCCUACUGCGGUCUCGGAUAUUGCCGGAGAUCAUACAGUCUUUUAUUUAUAUAAAGUCAAAGAACAAGCAAAAUUAAGUCAAAAAUUGACUGCCAUGAGGCAAGGCAGUUGAUUAGAAAAGAGCAUGAGUAAACUUUCUGGAGUGAGAAAUGUUCUGUAUCUUGGGGUGGUUAUAGGGGCGUAUACAAUUAUCAGAGCUUGUUAAUCUGAACACUUAAGAUCUCUGCAUUUU
rnacentral:sRNA from 1 species